rnacentral:rRNA from 1 species
GGGCCCGCACAAGCGGUGGAGCAUGUGGUUUAAUUCGAUGCAACGCGAAGAACCUUACCUACUCUUGACAUCCAGAGAACUUUUCAGAGAUGAAUUGGUGCCUUCGGGAACUCUGAGACAGGUGCUGCAUGGCUGUCGUCAGCUCGUGUUGUGAAAUGUUGGGUUAAGUCCCGCAACGAGCGCAACCCUUAUCCUUGUUUGCCAGCGAGUAAUGUCGGGAACCCCAGGGAGACUGCCGGUGAUAAACCGGAGGAAGGUGGGGACGACGUCAAGUCAUCAUGGCCCUUACGAGUAGGGCUACACACGUGCUACAAUGGCGCAUACAGAGGGCAGCCAACUUGCGAGAGUGAGCGAAUCCCAAAAAGUGCGUCGUAGUCCGGAUCGGAGUCUGCAACUCGACUCCGUGAAGUCGGAAUCGCUAGUAAUCGCAGGU